rnacentral:rRNA from 1 species
GACGAACGCUGGCGGCGCGCUUAACUCAUGCAAGUCGAACGGUAAGGCCCUGCUUUUGUGGGGUGCUCGAGUGGCGAACGGGUGAGUAACACGUGAGUAACCUGCCCUUGACUUUGGGAUAACUUCAGGAAACUGGGGCUAAUACCGGAUAGGAGCUCCUGCUGCAUGGAGGGGGUUGGAAAGUUUCGGCGGCUGGGGAUGGACUCGCGGCUUAUCAGCUUGUUGGUGGGGUCGUGGCUUACCAAGGCUUUGACGGGUAGCAGGCCUGAGAGGGUGACCGGCCAGAUUGGGACUGAGAUACGGCCCAGACUCCUACGGGAGGCAGCAGUGGGGAAUAUUGCACAAUGGGCGGAAGACCGAUGCAGCAACGCCGCGUGCGGGAGGACGGCCUUCGGGUUGUAAACCGCUUUCGCCUGUGACGAAGCGUGAGUGACGGUAAUGGGUAAAGAAGCACCGGGUAACUACGUG